UUUAAAGGGUGUCCUAAAAUUGACAUAAAACACCUACACAGAAACGUGACGUGACAACAAGUGAUUUAACUUUAGAAGACUUGGAUGGGGAAUCAAGCAUGAUAACAUCAAACCGUAAGUGCUGCAUCACUGCCUGUCUCACGAGCUUUGCUGUGGGUCCAAACUUGUCCCUUCCUAUACGACAGUGGGGUUAAGCACACACAACUCCCUCCACAGCCAUAAGACAAGGCCGCAGGUGUAAGUAGGACUAUAAACAAAUGUAGUUCAUUUACAAA